rnacentral:rRNA from 1 species
UACGUAGGGACCAAGCGUUGUUCGGAUUUACUGGGCGUAAAGGGCGCGUAGGCGGCCAUUCAAGUCACUUGUGAAAUCUCUGAGCUUAACUCAGAACGGUCAUGUGAUACUGCUUUGCUAGAGUGCAGAAGGGGCAACCGGAAUUCUUGGUGUAGCGGUGAAAUGCGUAGAUAUCAAGAGGAACACCGGAGGUGAAGACGGGUUGCUGGGCUGACACUGACGCUGAGGCGCGAAAGCUAGGGUAGCAAACGGG